rnacentral:rRNA from 1 species
CCCUUAGAUGUUCUGGGCUGCACGCGCGCUACACUGAUGCGAUCAACAAGUUUUUCCUAUGUCGAUAGACACGGGUAAUCUUUUGAACUCGCAUCGUGAUGGGGAUAGAUUAUUGUAAUUAUUAAUCUUCAACGAGGAAUUCCUAGUAGGUGCAAAUCAUCAGUUUGCAUCGAUUACGUCCCUGCCCUUGUACACACCGCCCGUCGCUGCUACCGAUUGGUUGAUCUGGUGAAUUAUUCGGACUGCCGGCUGAAGGGGUUUCCUCAUCUGCCAGCGGAAAGUCUUGUUAACCCUAUCAACUAGAGGAAGCAGAAGUCGUAACA